ACUAUCUGUGGUAGAAGCAGACAGCAUGAGGAACAUGAUUUGGAAAGAAGAGUUGUUUAAAAAAAAACCAAACAUCUGUAGCUUCUCACUUCAUUAGUCCACUUAUUUCCUUGAAGAUUGCACCAAUGUGGUGGGGAGCACACAACUGAAGAGGUUCCUGUGCUGGCUCCAGGCAGCAUACAGGAUCAGAUGGACACCAUCCUCCCUGGACCUCCCAGGCAGGUUGCAGGAGCCUGGGGAGUGGGACAAGGGCCCCAGCUAUCCCAGGUGAUGUGAGAGGGGGCAGAGGGCCAAAUUCUUACCCCCUUCGCAUGUCUUUUAAGUAGCUAGAACUAAAAUGAGCUUAAGGGCUGGGAUCAUUCUACUUUUGUGUGUUUGGAGGUAGGGGCUUGGCUGUAUUUCCCAGUUUUCCAAGACGUGUGAAGAUGGCAGAUAUAAUGCAAGGGACUGCAAAUGGAUCAUCCUUCAAAAAGAUGAGCAGACCAUGUCAAACAGUUUAUUUUCCACAACAUCCUUGACCCACAAGAGGCUGACUGUGCACCAACAAUGAACUAUUUCCAGCUCAUUUUGGAGCUCAGAAGAGACAGGAGUUUGUUUCCCACUGAUAGGAUGAUGAACGCCACGGAAAAUCCUGCUUGUUUCAGUCAGAACUUUAUCCUGGAGGCAGAGGGACCAUGCUACAGGAGGAACACCAUGAGGAUUACUGGUUUGUGGCCAUGCCCCGUCUUACCUCUCCUCUUUUCAGAAGAGAGGACACGAGAUCCUUAUGGAGGGCAAGGAAGCGGUGGCAAGAGGGACAGCUGACUUCAUGCAUCGUUACACUGAUUAUCAUCUGCCGUGUAGAGCAUGUCCACACCACAGCUGAAGAUGCAACUGCAGCAUGGAUGGACUCAUGCUGGUCUUUGUUUAGUGGCAAUAUAAUCACAGCAAUGCAACAUCAGCAGGUAGCUGCCUGAGACCUUGGGUGCUUAUUCUGGUCAUCAGCCAUGCUAAGCCUUUGCUGUUGGAGUUACAGAGCUGCUGGCAUCUGGUUGAAACUAAUCCCCAGACUUCUUUCUAUGCUGUGGUGAUGGGCAACCCCACAGGUGGGUAGUCAGACCCAAUGGUGGGUUGCAAGCUGCUUCUGGUACAGCAUGACCACACCUGGGUCCUGCUUGCAGCCCUCAUCUACCUGGGAAACAGGCAUAAAUUCUCCCUUAAAAAUACUGAGCAGUCAUGGUACAACCACAGGUUUCCUCGAUCAGCUCCUUGCGAUAAAGCCUUCCACCCUUCCUGAGAGCAAAGGUUCCAGCCAUUCCAUACUUCACCUCCUCCAGCUGUUUCCAGAGCUUCCCCUGGCGCAGUGUUCCAGCUGCCCUGUAGAAAACUGCUCAUCUGCUCCAGAGGAAGCGACACAACAAAAUUAAUAUCUUAGUAUGAUGAGAGACUACCAAGGAGCCUACACAAUCUGUGGCAUGCUUGGGAAGUAAACCCUGACUGCCUCAGGAAGAAAAGUCUGACCUACCAAGUGGUAGAGUGUCUUGUGUCCUUGGAGCUGGGACUUGGGAAUUUUGUGCCCUCUGGGAGGCAGCGAGUUCAUUUUCUCCAUGUGGGAGCCUGGGGGCAAACCAGCAUGCAAGUGGUAUGGACAAUCAGGGGCUCAGGUGUGAAACAGGGAGCGAACCGCAAUGAUAGUGUAGAUAUGUCCUAAAGAUGAUGCUUGAUAAUUUUGCAACAAAUUGUUGUAAGCAAUGAACAUGAAUCUUAAACUGUAAAUCAGCUUGUUUUCCAUUUAUUCAUAAGAAUUUUGCACUGUUUUCUGCUUGUUACAUUUCUAAUGUUAGCAUGUUGUCUCAUCUCAUUAGGUUGGCUCAUUUGGCACCUCUCUGAGAUGCCAAAAUACAGGGGAGGUUUUUGGAAAGUAUUUCGUCAGUAUUGUUACUGGAAAAGUUAUGACCAGCUCUAGCGUUUUAAUACGCUUGAAUGUGGAUAUCACUAACACUUGGACACAUCUAUAUCUCUUAUUCUUCCAUUAUAAAAACAAUGUUGACAGCUCCACUUUCUCUUAAAAGCUAUCAUCCAGCAACAAAUAAAUAAAUGCCCUCAAGAAAGUGUUGCCUUCAUCCACCCAGAAGACAGAAGUAUCAGGAUCUCCACUGAGUCUGCCAGAACUUGUCUGCAUACUACUGAAUAACAAAUGAGGUGGUUUAUGCCCUUUGGAAUAAGGACAUUCUAGGGCAGAUAAAGUGUGUUCACGCUGCUAUCAAACUCUUCCAAGGGACAGUGGUGAACACGAAAGCUUUGUUACGUGAAUAAGAAAAAGGUGAUUGGGAAUAGCCAACAUGGAUCUACCAAGGUUAGAUCCUCAGAUUAUGUAAGCUUUGCAGGACAUCUAGAGGUCUCUCAUUCUACCCCUGCCUAAAGCAGGUCCAGGUAAAGCAGGGCCUUGCCCAGUUGGGUUUUGAGUAUAUGCAGGGUGGAGAAUCCACAGCACCUCUGGCCAACUGCUCGAGUGUUUAUCCUCAUGGUAAGCUUAUUUUCCCUAAUAUUGAGUGGGAAUUUCUCCCACUUGACCAACAUGAUUGCUUUGUGUGAUAAGGGAAGAGCAGUGGUUAUUAUCUACCUUGACAUUAACUUUGCUUUAGACAUGAUCUUCUACAGCAUGUAUGUAUCUAAGCUGGUCCAUUUUGUUCUGGACAGAUGGAUAGGUAGAUGGGUGAAAAACUGGCUUGUUUGUUGAGCUUAAAGGGUUCAUAUUUUACAUGAAGGCCUUUACAAGCCUCUUGAAGUACAAGAGUUCUUCAGGGAUCUAUUCUGGCAGUUUAAUGUCUUUGUCAGUGGCACAAAAGAAGAGACAGUACGCACCCUUAUCAAUUUUGCAGCUGACACCAAACUGGGGUGAGCAACCAACACACUCCAGGGCAGGGCUGCCGCUCAGAGGGACCUGAGCAGCUGGAAGAAUGAGCCAAUAGGAACCUUACAAAAUCUGACAAGGAUAAAUUUGAAGUCCUGCAACUGGAGUGAAGUGACCCCUUGCAAGAGUACAGGCUGCUAGUGAGCUCUGCAGGAGAGGACACAGGGGUGCUGCUGAGCAGUAGGCUGAAUAUGAGCCAGCGGUGUGCUCUGGCAGCAGGGAAGGCCAAGAACCUGGUGCAGCCUGGGCUGUAUCAACAGGAUCAUGGCCACCAGAUGGAGAUAAGUGAUUAUCCCCCUCUAUGCAGGACUCACGAGAUCCACCUAGAGAGAAUACUGCAUCCAGAUUUCAGCACCGAUCGAUAACCUUGUUGCUAAGUCACCAAGAUGCUUGGGGUAUGGAGACCAACCCUGUCAGGAGAGGCUGAGGGACUAGAUUUUGUCCAGCCCUGGGAUGAGGUAUCUUCAGGGGAACCUAAAAGCAGCCUCUCAUUAUCUAUGAACCACCAAAGCUCUUCGUGGUGUUACAUGAUGAGAGGACAACAGAUGGUGGGCAUAAAUUGAAACAAGAGGUCUAAGUGGGUAUGAAGAUGAAAUUUUGCACAUGAGGACAAGCAGUGGAACAGGCUGUUGAGUGAGGUUGUGCAGUCACCAUCCUUGGAGGUCUUGAAGACCCUGACGGACAGUCUUGAGCAACUUUCUCUCAUAGCUAAAGCAUUUUGAGCAGACCUCCUGAUGUCCUUUCCAACCCAAACCGUUCUGUGAUUUCUUGUUAAAACUGGGAAGGGAGACUUUAUUACUUAAGUUGUUCACUAUCCAGAAGCCCUGGUCUUUUCCUAGUGCUAGUCAGUGCUGGCCAGAUGAGAUGAGGCAAGUAAAACUUUACAGCAAGAUAUGCUUACAUACCUGAGAGUCCCUCCCUUGGAUCUCCCCUUGGGAGCAGUGUCUGUUGCCAUUUCCCACUUUGCCCAGCUCAGGAGCAGGUGGAAUAAGCCCCAAGUGCUCCUGCCUCUCCCAGAAGAGCCAGGUUGUGGUUCCUCUUGUUCUCGUCUGUGUAAACAAACUGCAUUAGCUGCAAAAGUACAAGAAAGUGCACUACUAUAAACAGUAUCGCAGUUAAUAAUUAUUAUUUUAUUGCUUUCUUGCAGACAAAACUGGCAUUUUUUCAAGGAUGUGUCUAGAGUCUGCCCUGGAGGUGAGGCCAUACCUGUCAUGCAACUGGCAGGACUGGACUUCCUCUUAAUUUAAACUCAUACUACAUUUAACAGAGUAGUCUGGACAAGUGAAUUUUCUGCCUGUGUUGAAGGAAAUUACAUAUAUGGUGUGUCACAUAGUGUUCCACAUGGAGUGGUCUUCCAGUAUCUGUUCACAGUGUUUUAAAGACUGCCUGAGAAAAUUUAUUUCACUGAGACAUGUACAAGGAGGCAUUGUUACAGUAAGUUGAUCUUGUUUCUUACAAUGCCAUUUGGAGGUGAUUUCCCAGGAAUCCACACAGAAAAUAAAACCAAGGAGAACUGCAGGUCCCUCAGUACCGGCAUAAAAGCUCAGAGCUGUGCCAACCAAGUGAACUUGAAUUUAAUUGAUGUUAACCUCACUGGUUCUUUUGUUGCUAAUCAUGGAGAAGAUAAGCAUUUUUAUGGAAACAGCUGGCUGUGUCUUAAAGGGGUCUAAAUGAUCCUAACUGAAAAGUGGACCUGAACAACAAAAAAAAGGGGAAAUUAAGUGAUAAUUUUAUUCCCUACAUGUCUGAUUCAGACCUGCUUACAUAGAGAAGGUAUUGUAGAUACCUACAGACACAUCCAAAUCACAUGGAGAACUGGGAAGAAAACAUGAAUGCAAAGUAGUCUCUUUAGCAUUUCAUAUCUUAUUAGGGCUCUAGUCCUCUGGUCUCUUUGUUAGACUUCCAUAAUUACACAGAGCAGAGAUUGAGAAGGCGGAAAACUAAAUGCAAUUGAUUCUGCUAUUUGAACUACAAGGUUUGUGUAGGUGUUUGGGGGAAGGAAGCAAAGCAAACCAGCUCUUGAAUGCUGAGCAGCAACACUAGAGAAAUAGUUGAGGAGUAAGGAGGAGGAGAACAUUCCAUUGCAAGUCUGAGUGAAACUUAGGCAGCACUGGAAUUUGGUCUAGACAGGAGAACUCUUCCACAUUUACAUCGUAACAUUUUGAAAGCUGCAGUAAUCGCAGAUGUUUCAUGAUCCCCAGUGGCUGCCUCGUAAUAUUUUGGUCCUACUGGUGACAACUACUCAAGAUUUAAGUGAGUUAUAGUGAUGAUUGUGCUUUUGUAACAGAGGAGAAUACAGUUGUGAUAAAAGAGCUCCCAUUUCUGUUCAACAUGAACAGAAAUGGAGGGAGAAGAAAGGCUAAGUACAACUUCUCACUUCUGAAUUUGCCUUUGGAGAGCUAUGGAAUGUAUGUGAGAGGGGAGGCUGCCUUUUUUUUUGUUUUUUUCUUUCUCCCAUACUUGUACUGUAAAAUUCCCCAUUAAAUGAUGGGAAUAAAAAAGACUCUUAGCUAAUUUUCUUAAGUUUUACACAUUUGGAAAGGUUUGUUUUUUUUUUUUUUUUUCUUUCCAGCAGAAAGCAAUACUUAAUGCUGUCUUUAUCAAGUAGCCUGAGGUCCUUUUGGUGUGGGCAGCUCUUGCUGGCUGGGCAUAUGAGCAAGCACAGCUGGAGCACACAAUGUGGUGAUAACAUCUGGAGUUUGUAAAGAGGGUGUCUUGGUAAGGAGGUUUCCAGUUCUACCACGAGGUAAAUUGCCCUCCAUAGCCUUGGGGUUUUGGAGAAAAAAUAUUCCUGUUAGGAUGUCACCUCCCCUCCUCAGCUGUCAGAAGCAGAGCUUCUGGCACAGUAAAGAACUGCAUGUUUAUCUUCCCUGGUUGUUAUCAAAAUAGUUGUGGUAUGACCCAGAAAUUGAACAUGAAACAACAGGUCUGCUUGCAAAAACUAGUGCAAAGUGAGUUAACUGGUAUUCUUUUCUAUAUAUUAGAUUCAAUUUUGUCCUUCACAGCCUGGAGCCACUAUAGACUGUAAAAGUUCAGCAUCAGGGAGAUGUACAUGAAGAUCUGUUUUAAAAGUCUUACUCUUCUCCAUUAAGUUGGUAAAGAUAUUGGGGCCUUUGUAAUUGCUCUCAUCUGGUAUUCCCUCUUACAAGUUACGAAGUAUUUUUAAUUAUGGUGGUAACAUUUUAAUAAGGCUAUCAGUGCCCCGGGGCCAAUGCUAUAACCCAGUUAUUUGACAUGUUAGGUUGACGAGCACCUGUUACAAAGUGCAACCUUGUUAAUGGAAGAUUCAUACUAAUGAGGGGGAACCCUGGGCGUCUACAGGGCUACUGCAGCAGCUCUCAUUUGACCCUUCACUUCCAUUUCCAAGAAUGAGGGCACAAGCAGAGGAAAGAGAUGGCUGUCAAUAAAAUAAUUGUGCUCCUUAUC